ensembl:lncRNA
AAUUCAUUCAGGACUUCUGAAAUUUUCAGCGUGGGCAACUAGGGCUUAACUCACACGGUGAAGAUGAAGAGUGCACCAGGAGGAACUCAACAACUGAUUAUGUGGCUUUCUAACAAGUUACUGGCUCAAAAAUGUCCAAAGAAGUAUCAACAGGACAGGCUUUAAGUCCUCUAAGACUCUACGAUCUUUGCCAAAGUAGGUCAAAGCGUUGCACAUCAGUUUUAGCAAAACUCCUGGAAGAGUCCUGAAAGAGUUAUAGGUUGAAGUACCUGAGAGAGACUUUCCAGAACUUGGCUCUGCUGUAAGACGCAACCUCAUCAGCUGACUACAAAUACUGGUGAAAAUGGAGAAGUGAGGG